UGGGGAAUUUUGGACAAUGGACGCAAGUCUGAUCCAGCCAUGCCGCGUGCGGGAAGAAGGCCUUCGGGUUGUAAACCGCUUUUGUCAGGGAAGAAACGAGUUUCUCUAAUACAGGGACCUAAUGACGGUACCUGAAGAAUAAGCACCGGCUAACUACGUGCCAGCAGCCGCGGUAAUACGUAGGGUGCAAGCGUUAAUCGGAAUUACUGGGCGUAAAGCGUGCGCAGGCGGUUAUAUAAGACAGAUGUGAAAUCCCCGGGCUCAACCUGGGAACUGCAGUUGUGACUGUAUAGCUAGAGUACGGCAGAGGGGGAUGGAAUUCCGCGUGUAGCAGUGAAAUGCGUAGAUAUGCGGAGGAACACCGAUGGCGAAGGCAAUCCCCUGGGCCUGUACUGACGCUCAUGCACGAAAGCGUGGGGAGUAAACA
rnacentral:rRNA from 1 species